rnacentral:rRNA from 1 species
UACGGGGGGGGCAAGCGUUGUUCGGAAUUACUGGGCGUAAAGGGCGCGUAGGCGGCCUGCUAAGUCGGACGUGAAAUCCCUCGGCUCAACCGGGGAACUGCGUCCGAUACUGGCGAGGCUUGAAUCCGGGAGAGGGAUGUGGAAUUCCAGGUGUAGCGGUGAAAUGCGCAGAUAUCAGGAGGAACACCAAUGGCGAAGGCAGCACUCUGGGACGUGACUGACGCUGAGACGCGAAAGCGUGGGGAGCAAACAGG